rnacentral:lncRNA from 1 species
UGGUGUAAAGACAUCGAGCAAAAAGUAUAGAUAGUUGUUAGAGAAUAACUAGUACUAAGCAUGACCAUAUGAGAAAUUACAUGAAUUUCUAUUCGAUCGUCAGUAAUUAUCUCGAUGUUGUAGUAGUGUCACUAGUCCUUUUGAAAGAAUAGUAUCCUACAAACCAAUCGCAUGGGUGAUGCGAAGAAACUUUUCUGUAUUUUCUUUCUUCUCA